rnacentral:rRNA from 1 species
CUUCUUGGAAGAGUGACGGGCGAUUUGUGCUUGAACUAUUUCUUUUUCACUUAAAGUUUAGUCUUUUUAGGUUAAUUUCCAGUACUAUUUCAUCAUUUUUAUAUUUUUUUCUACUAUUUUUCAUAAAUGAACCCCAGUUUCUCCUUUUUGUAAGCUUUGCCUUGAUUUGUCUUCCUUUGUUUUUUACAUUUAGAACUAAAUUUUUUUUUUCUUCUUAAGACAAUGGUAUAAAGGCUGAUAAAGAUGGUAUCUUUUUUAUUGUGGGUUGGCUAUUACGUCUCAGGAUCCCCGGACAAGUGAGUUCACCGCCAUUUUUUAUUGAUUUUGUUUAUUUAACUACUAUCUUGUUUUUCUGAAUAAAG